CCCUUAGACGUUCUGGGCCGCACGCGCGCUGCACUGACGAAGGCAACGAGCUACUCUUCACCGAAAGGUGUGGGUAAUCUUUUGAAACUUCGUCGUGCUGGGGAUAGAUCCUUGCAAUUUUUGAUCUUAAACGAGGAAUUCCUAGUAAGCGCAAGUCAUCAACUUGCGUUGAUUACGUCCCUGCCCUUUGUACACACCGCCCGUCGCUACUACCGAUUGAAUGGUUUAGUGAGGCCUUCGGAUCCGCGAUUUUAUUGUGGAGAAGUUGGACAAACUCAGUCAUUUAGAGGAAGUAAAAGUCGUAACA
rnacentral:rRNA from 1 species